GACGAACGCUGGCGGCGUGCUUAACACAUGCAAGUCGAACGGGCCCGCUCUCUUUUUUGGGGGUGGGUUGAGUGGCGAACGGGUGAGUAUCACGUGAGUAACCUGCCCCCUGCUCCUGGAUAACUGCUUGAAAGGGCGGCUAAUACGGGGUGUGCCGGCUGGUCCGCAUGGGCCUGGUCGGGAUAGUUUCAUCUUCGGGUGUUUCGGUGGGGGAUGGGCUCGCGGCCUGUCAGCUUGUUGGGGGGGGGAUGGCCCACCAAGGCGGAGACGGGGGGCCGGCCUGAGAGGGUGGGCGGCCACACUGGGACUGAGACACGGCCCAGACUCCUGCGGGAGGCAGCAGUGGGGGGUAUUGCACAAUGGGCGGAAGCCUGAGGCAGCUACGUCGCGUGAUGGAGGGAGGCCUUCGGGUAGUGAACCUCUUUCUCCGGUGGUGAAGGCCCUGUCCGUUGCGGCGGGGUUGACGGUAGCCGGGUAUGAAGCGCCGGCUAACUACGUG
rnacentral:rRNA from 1 species